rnacentral:rRNA from 1 species
AUUGAACGCUGGCGGCAGGCCUAACACAUGCAAGUCGAGCGGAUGAAGGGAGCUUGCUCCUGGAUUCAGCGGCGGACGGGUGAGUAAUGCCUAGGAAUCUGCCUGGUAGUGGGGGAUAACGUCCGGACACGGGCGCUAAUACCGCAUACGUCCUGAGGGCGAACGUGGGGGAUCUUCGGACCUCACGCUAUCAGAUGAGCCUAGGUCGGAUUAGCUAGUUGGUGGGGUAAAGGCCUACCAAGGCGACGAUCCGUAACUGGUCUGAGAGGAUGAUCAGUCACACUGGAACUGAGACACGGUCCAGACUCCUACGGGAGGCAGCAGUGGGGAAUAUUGGACAAUGGGCGAAAGCCUGAUCCAGCCAUGCCGCGUGUGUGAAGAAGGUCUUCGGAUUGUAAAGCACUUUAAGUUGGGAGGAAGAGCAGUAAGUUAAUACCUUGCUGUUUUGACGUUACCAACAGAAUAAGCACCGGCUAACUUCGUG